rfam:Schistosoma margrebowiei strain Zambia genome assembly, scaffold: SMRZ_scaffold0000057
GCACUGCUGAGGAGUCCCACAAUAGGAUGAAACGGUCGUCUAGUGC